rnacentral:rRNA from 1 species
UAUUCCCCACUGCUGCCUCCCGUAGGAGUCUGGGCCGUGUCUCAGUCCCAAUGUGGCCGUCCAACCUCUCAGUCCGGCUACUGAUCGUUGCCUUGGUGAGCCGUUACCUCACCAACCAGCUAAUCAGACGCGAGCUCAUCCUUAAGCGAUAAAAUCUUUUAUAGCUGUACCAUGCGGUACUACUAUCUUAUGCGGUAUUAUCAGUCGUUUCCAACUGCUAUCCCCCUCUUAAGGGCAGAUUGCUCACGUGUUACUCACCCGUCCGCCACUAAGUUACAAAUUAAGCAAGCUUAUCUUGUAACUCCGUUCGACUUGCAUGUGUUAAGCGUGCCGCCAGCGUUCAUCCUGAGCCAA